rnacentral:rRNA from 1 species
AGCAGCCGCGGUAAUUCCAGCUCCAAUAGCGUAUAUUAAAGUUGUUGCAGUUAAAAGCUCGUAGUUGAAUUUCGGGGUCAGUAGAUUGGUCGUGCCACUGGUAUGUACUGGUCUUACUGGCUCCUCCUUCCUGAUGAACCGUAAUGCCAUUAAUUUGGUGUUGCGGGGAGACUGGACUGUUACUUUGAAAAAUUAGAGUGUUAAAGCAGGCUAACGCUUGAAUACAUUAGCAUGGAAUAAUGAAAUAGGACGUUCGAUCUUAUUUUGUUGGUUUCUAAGAUUGACGUAAUGAUUAAUAGGGAUAGUUGGGGGCAUUAGUAUUCAAUUGUCAGAGGUGAAAUUCUUGGAUUUAUUGAAGACUAACUACUGCGAAAAGCAUUUGCCAAGGAUGUUUUCAUUAAUCAAGAACGAAAGUUAGGGGAUCGAAGACGAUCAGAUACCGUCGUAGUCUUAACCAUAAAACUAUGCCGACUAGGGAUCGGAUGAUGUUAAUUUUUUAAUGACUCAUUCGGCGCCUUAU